UAUGAUGAAACUGCGAAKAGCUUAUUAAAUCAGUUAUAGUUUAUUUAAUAAGUUAAUAAAAAUAAUAAAUGGAUAACUAUAGUAAUUCUAAGGCUAAUACAUGUUUAAGUUUUAAAUAAAAAAUUUAUAAUUAAAAAUAAAAUAAGUAACGUAUGCUUUUGCAUGAUAUAAAUAUUGAAUAAUUUUAAUUAAAUGAAUUWAAAAAAAUAAUAAAUUAAUUAUGUUUUUGACCUAUCAGCUUUAAUAAUAAGACCYUGGCUUAAUAUAAUUAYGACGGGUAACGGAGGAUUAGAGUUUGGUUCUGGAGAAAAAGCUUGAGGAAUAGCUAUUAUAUCUARGGAAAGCAGCAGGCGCGUAAAUUAUCCAAUUUUAAUAAAAAGAGGUAGUGAUAAGGAAUAACAAUACAAAAUAUAAUAAUUGUUUUGUAAUUGGAAUGAAAUUAAUAUAAAAAUAUUUUUAAAUUAUAAUUAGAGGGCAAGUCUGGUGCCAGCAGCCGCGGUAAUUCCAGCUUUAAUAAUAUAUAUUAAUAUUGUUGUAGUUAAAAAGCUCGUAGUUGCAGUUUUGAUAAUAAUAGAAUUUUUUUUAUAUAAAAGUUAUUUUAUAAUUGUUAUAAUUAUAUAAGAAAUUAUAUGUGUUUGUAUAGUAAUUUUUUUAUUUUAUUUUGAGGAAAUUAGAGUGUUUUAAGCAUGAUUUUUCAAUUGAAUAAUGGAGUAUGGAAUAUUAAAAAUGUAAUAAAAUUUAUUUAUAUGUUGGUUUUAAAGUGUUAAUUAAUAAUUUCUAAGAAUAGUUGGGGGUAUUUGUAUUUAACAGCAAGAGGUGAAAUUCUUAGAUUUGUUGAAGAUAAAUUAUUGUGAAAGCAUUUAUWAAAAAUAUUUUUUUUAAUUAAGAACAAAAGUUAGGGGAUCGAAGACGAUCAGAUACCGUCGUAGUCUUAAUUAUAAACUAUGCUGAUUAGAGAUUAGAUGUUUUUAAAUAAAUGAUUUGUUUAGUAUUUUUAGAGAAAUCGAAGUUUUUAAGUUUUGGGGGGAGUAUGGUUGCAAGAUUGAAACUUAAAGGAAUUGACGGAAAGGCACCACCAGAAGUGGAGUUUGCGGUUUAAUUUGACUCAACACAAGAAAUUUUAUUAGGUCUAGACAUAUGAAGGAUUGACAGRUUAAUAGUUUUUUUUUGAUUUUAUGGGUGGUAGUGCAUGGCCGUUCUUAGUUGGUGGAGUGAUUUGUCUGGUUAAUUCCGUUAACGAAYGAGACUUUAAUUUAUUAAAUAGGAAAAAUAAUAUUGUUAUAUUUUUACUUUUAAUGUUUUUUAGAUGGAUUUUAUAUAUAUAAUUUAAGGAAGUUUAAAGUAAUAACAGGUCUGGAAUGCUUUUAGAUGUCCUAGGCUACACGCGUAUUACAUUAAUGUGAUUAAAUAGUUUAGAACUAUAAUUGUUAUAUUUUGGUAAUCUUGUAAUAUACAUUGUAAUUGGGAUAGUGUAUUGUAAUUAUUAUUYUUAAACGAGGAAUUUCUAGUAAAUACAAGUCAUAAACUAGUGUUGAUUAUGUCCCUGCCUUUUGUACACACCGCCCGUCGCUCCUACUGAUUGAAUGAAUUGGUGAAUGAAUUAGAAUGUGUGUAAAUAUAUUUU
rnacentral:rRNA from 1 species